UACGAAGGGGGCUAGCGUUGUUCGGAGUUACUGGGCGUAAAGGGCGCGUAGGCGGCCCUCCAAGUCGGGCGUGAAAGCCCACGGCUCAACCGUGGAAUUGCGCUCGAGACUGAAGGGCUCGAGGACGGGAGAGGAUGGUGGAAUUCCCAGUGUAGAGGUGAAAUUCGUAGAUAUCGUAAGGAAGACCAGUGGCGAAGGCGGGUCUCUGGACAGUUCCUGGACGCUGAGGCACGAAGGUCAGGGGAGCAAACGGG
rnacentral:rRNA from 1 species